rnacentral:snRNA from 1 species
UCGCUUCGGCAGCACAUAUAUUAAAAUUGGGACGAUACAGAGAAGAUUAGCAUGGCCCCUGUGCAAGGAUGACAUGCAAAUUCAUGAAGCAUUCCAUAUUUUU